UUUCACUUGGUUCUGUAUGGGCAGGGGAUUGAAUGAUUAUGUCUGUGUGGAGACUUAUAGUAUGGUGUAUUUGUUUGCGGUAAUUAUGUCAACUUGCUGUACCUCACUCUGAGCUCUCUUAUCACAGUGACGUCAUAUUACAUUCAAAUGAAGCAGAUAUUUGGGUGGGAAAUUAUCUAUACUCCACAGGUAUUUGUUUGCUUAUUCUAUGUUAAGAUUAGAGGGCCG